UCCAUUGAGUCGAUGAUGCCAUCCAACCAUCUCAUCCUCUGAGGCUCCCUUCUCCUCCUGCCUCCAUGAUUGUCUUAACAUGAGUCAGUUAUCAAGGAUCAGAGCUUGGUGGCUAAGAACAUAAAUGCUGGACUCAAACUAUCUGAGUUCAAAUCCCUGGGUUGCUCCUAACCAGCUGUGUGGUCUUGGCAAUUCACUUCUCUACUCCAAGAAGAAUAAUGUCUCUUUCAUAGAGAAUUUAGUCAGGUUUCCUCUGCAGAGUACUUUGGAUGAUGUCUGGCCAUGGGACGUCUAGAGGAGCUUCUCUUCAUUAGCAAGGCUUAAGUUCCAAAGACUAUGAUCCUCACAGACAACUCCUGCUGGUAGAAGCAGCAAGAUGAAGUCAGGCUGGGAGUCAGGUUCCCGCAUCAAAUUUGGCCCUGGGGGAUGCCUACAGAUCAGAAGGAGGGGCUCCGGAGCAGCAGUUCUCAAAGUGUGGUCCCAGGCCAGUAGCGCCCACAUCUGCUCCGGACCUUGUUAAGAGACGAACACUGGGGACCCCACCUAGACCCUCUGCAUCAGAGACUCUCCCUGGCUGGGGCCCAGCUGUCCGAGUUUGACGCUCAUGCUGCUAAAAUUUGAGAACCACACUUGAGUAUGUUUUCUCCAUUUCUAAAAUGAUACUGCUCUGUUUUGCCAGGAAAUGAAAAUGAGAAACCUCCUACAGUAAUUCCCACCAAAUUCUUAUCUUUAACCUUUGAGAAUGUAUUUUUUUUUAAACCGCUGUGCCAUAAACCAGAACUACUGUGACUUUAAUGAAAAAGUAUGAGUCGAUGAUUCAUUUGGUUGACAUGUUUUGAAAAUAUCGAGUUUAGUUGAUUUAUUGUCAGUGCCUCCAUGGGUACGAAGGACUGCAGAUUGUAUAUUUAUAUCACCAGAGGCAUUUCCUUUCUCUUAUGAACUUCUGUGUUUUAUUUACUUGUCCUUUCUUCCUUUUUAGCCGUUUUUGAGUGAUUUUUGUCUUAUUGAAAUAAAGUUGCUAUACUUUUUGA